GCUAGAAUCCAGAUUCACUUGAAUUCUCUCCACGCAUCUCUGUAUUUAUCCAUUGACUCUGAAUAUUAGUGUUCGCGGGAUUUGAAAAAAAUUCUCCUCAGAAUCUUUGGAGGAUUCAAAUAGAUGUUUCUCAAUUUUACGUGACCUCCUGUGGCGGAUCCGACCUGGCUAUUAGACUUUAUGCUGGUGUAUUGACUGUCACGUCCGAAAAAUGAGCCUUGCUUUUGGGAUGGACGGGUCUAAUCGCUGCUUGCGAGCUGCUGCCUACCCGCUUUAUAUAUCUUACAUCUUGCCUUCGGAUAUAUGGAGUAGUACGGCGCGGUCGUACAAGAGUUACUCGGUCUGUGAGAUCCGAGUCUCUACAACCACAGCCAGGAUGGCGAAUUUUGGGCACGUAAGACAUCUCCCAGAGUAGCUGGUAUCAGCUAAAAUAAGAUCAGAACUUAGCAAGAUUAUUUUUCCGCGUAUUGCUUAAUGCAAUGAUUAAUGCUGGCUAUUCACACAGUAACAUGGUAAACCGUUGCAUUUGAUGAAUUGUUUCCUGAUGCGAUUAAAUAGUAACUUCAACGAAUCAACUGCCUGAAGGAGUUACAUUAAAUGUUAAGCAAUGACACCAAUGGCGUUUUAGUUUUUUUAUAAUGCCGGUGAAGUUGGUGCUACCCUCAUUUUAAAUUGGGUGUAAUCAGUCUAUCUCCUUUUUUGCACUACACCGGUGUAGCACCAAGAAAAAACGAAAACGCUUUAAGGCACAUGCAUUGCAGUGGUAGAAGGUUUUCAAUUAAUUUUUUAAAAGUUGGUUUUGUUUUCUUUUAUGUUAGGAAAUGCUUCAGUUAGGUAAUUUUUUCCAGACUAAGGGUCGAUUUCUUCACCCUUGCUUAAAGCUUAAGCCAGGUUUAAACGUACUGGUGAACCUGGUUUAAAAGUUAAGCGAGGGUGAAGAAAUCGGCCCUUAAAAGCUAAGCGAGGGUGCCCUAAGGGCCGAUUUCUUCGCCCUCGGUUAACGUUUAAGCCAGGGUGAAGAAGUCGACCAUAAAUCGUUAAGCGAGGGUGAAGAAAUCGAACCUAAAUCGUGAAUAGUUUGCAUCAAGGUUACACUCAGUUUAGUCUUAGGGCCGAUUUCUUCACCCUCGCUUAACCUUUAAACUAGGUUUUACAGCUGGGUGAGUGAAGAAAUCGAUCGAAGUCAAACCAAUUUCAAUCAUUGAAUUAAAAGUAUUCUUAAACUAGGAUUUAAUUUUAUAGUUUAUUUUCAAGCAAAAAGGAGCUUCAGCAGUUUCGAAUUAAUAUAAAACUACAGAAUCUUAUUUCAUUUAAAUUUACUUCA